GCACUUUUUUAAUGUGCUCCACAACGACAAGGCGAAGACGACGCAUUCGUAUGUCAAUCCAUAUCAACUUUCGAUGUCAUUUACUGCGCCUACCAUGGUGACCAUGGGUAACGGGGAAUCAGGGUUUGAUUCCAUACAGGGACCCUGACAAACAGCUACCACAUGCAAGGAAGGCA